GACGAACGCUGGCGGCGUGCCUAAUACAUGCAAGUAGAACGCAGUUGCGAACGGGUGAGUAACGCGUAGGUAACUGCCUGCUAACGGGGGGUAACUAUUGGAAACAAUAGCUAAUACCGCAUACUACCAGAUGGACCUGCGUUGGAUUAGCUAGUUGGUGGGGUAACGGCUCACCAAGGCAACGAUACAUAGCCGGCCUGGGAGGGGUAACGGCCACACUGGGACUGAGACACGGCCCAGACUCCUACGGGAGGCAGCAGUAGGGAAUCUUCGGAAAUGGACGGAAGUCUGACCGCGCAACGCCGCGGGAGUGAAGAAGGUUUUCGGAUCGUAAAGCUCUGUUGUAAGAGAAGCGGUAUCUGAACAGAAAGGGACGGCUAACUACGUGCCAGCAGCCGCGGUAAUAC
rnacentral:rRNA from 1 species